rnacentral:rRNA from 1 species
GGUGGAGCGAUUUGUCUGGUUAAUUCCGAUAACGAACGAGACUCUAGCCUGCUAAAUAGUUCGCCGAUUGUCUAAUCUGUCGGCGUUAACUUCUUAGAGGGACAAGUGGUGUUUAGCCACACUAGAUUGAGCGAUAACAGGUCUGUGAUGCCCUUAGAUGUCCGGGGCUGCACGCGUGCUACACUGGAAGAAUCAGCGUGUUUUUCCAUUGCCGAAAGGUAUUGGUAAACCGUUGAAACUCUUCCGCGACCGGGAUAGGGAAUUGAAAUUAUUUCCCUUAAACGAGGAAUUCCUAGCAAGUGUGAGUCAUCAGCUCACGUUGAUUACGUCCCUGCCCUUUGUAC